UACGUAGGGUCCGAGCGUUGUCCGGAAUUAUUGGGCGUAAAGGGCUCGUAGGCGGUUUUGUCGCGUCGGGAGUGAAAACCUACAGCUUAACUGUGGGCUUGCUUUCGAUACGGGCAGACUUGAGGCAUGCAGGGGAGAACGGAAUUCCUGGUGUAGCGGUGAAAUGCGCAGAUAUCAGGAAGAACACCCGUGGCGAAGGCGGCCUGCUGGGCAGUUUGGCUGACACUGAGGCGCGACAGCGUGGGGGAGCAAACAGG
rnacentral:rRNA from 1 species